rnacentral:ncRNA from 1 species
ACAUUUGCCGUGAUUUUUGGUUUUUCUUUAAUCAUCUUAUUAAAGAGAAUUAAAAGGGAAUUCGGUGUAAAACCGAAGCUGUUCCCGCAACUGUAAGCUAUUAAGCUUGUAACAAAUACUCAAACCACUGUUUUUUUAAUGGGAAGGUAUGUUACAAGACGCAAGCCAGGAGACCUGCCAAUUAUUAUAAUUUAAU